rnacentral:rRNA from 1 species
UACGGAGGAUGCAAGCGUUAUCCGGAUUCAUUGGGUUUAAAGGGUGCGUAGGCGGAAUAAUAAGUCAGUGGUGAAAGCCUGCGGCUUAACCGUAGAAUUGCCGUUGAUACUGUUAUUCUUGAGUAUAGUUGAAGUGGGCGGAAUGUGUAAUGUAGCGGUGAAAUGCUUAGAUAUUACACAGAACACCAAUUGCGAAGGCAGCUCGCUAAACUGUUACUGACGCUGAGGCACGAAAGCGUGGGGAGCAAACAGG